UGAGCGGAGAUAUAUGGAGCUUGCUUUAUAUAACUUAGCAGCGAACGGGUGAGUAACACGUAGAUAAUCUAUCCUAUACUGGGGGAUAGCCCGAUGAAAGUUGGAUUAAUACCGCAUAUAGCUAUAUAGUUGCAUGAUUAUGUAGUGAAAGAUUUAUUGGUAUAGGAGGAGUCUGCGGCACAUUAGCUAGUAGGUGAGGUAAAGGCUUACCUAGGCGACGAUGUGUAGCCGGUCUGAGAGGAUGAACGGCCACAGUGGAACUGAGACACGGUCCAUACUCCUACGGGAGGCAGCAGUGGGGAAUAUUGCACAAUGGGGGAAACCCUGAUGCAGCAACGCCGCGUGAGUGAAGAAGGUUUUCGGAUUGUAAAGCUCUGUUAGCAGGGAAGAGGAAGGACGGUACCUGCAGAGGAAGCCACGGCUAACUACGUGCCAGCAGCCGCGGUAAUACGUAGGUGGCAAGCGUUGUUCGGAAUAACUGGGCGUAAAGGAUGCGUAGGCGGUUAAACAAGUUAUAUGUUAAAUAUAUAGGCUUAACCUGUAGAAAGCAUAUAAAACUGUUUAACUAGAGUGCAGGAGAGGUAAGUGGAAUUCCUAGUGUAGCGGUGAAAUGCGUAGAGAUUAGGAAGAACACCAGUGGCGAAGGCGACUUACUGGACUGUAACUGACGCUGAGGCAUGAGAGCAUGGGGAGCAAACAGGAUUAGAUACCCUGGUAGUCCAUGCUGUAAACGAUGGGUACUAGGUGUGGGUUGUGAAUAACAAUUCGUGCCGUC
rnacentral:rRNA from 1 species